rnacentral:rRNA from 1 species
UCUGGUGAUUUGAGCGAGGGUGAACCACCUCUUACCAUUCCGAACAGAGUCGUGAAAGCCCUCAGCGCUGAUGGUACUGUAUUCUCCAAGGAUACGGGAGAGUAGGUCAUUGCCAGGC